GCCAUCGAGACUUUGCUGUGCUACCUGGAGCUGCACCCACACCACUGGCUGGAGCUGCUGGCGACCACCUAUACCCAUUGCCGUCUGAACUGCCCUGGGGGCCCUGCCCAGCUCCAGGCCCUGGCCCACAGGUGUCCCCCUUUGGCUGUGUGCUUGGCCCAGCAGCUGCCUGAGGACCCAGGGCAAGGCAGCAGCUCCGUGGAGUUUGACAUGGUCAAGCUGGUGGACUCCAUGGGCUGGGAGCUGGCCUCUGUGCGGCGGGCUCUCUGCCAGCUGCAGUGGGACCACGAGCCCAGGACAGGUGUGCGGCGUGGGACAGGGGUGCUUGUGGAGUUCAGUGAGCUGGCCUUCCACCUUCGCAGCCCGGGGGACUUGACCGCUGAGGAGAAGGACCAGAUAUGUGACUUCCUCUAUGGCCGUGUGCAGGCCCGGGAGCGCCAGGCCCUGGCCCGUCUGCGCAGAACCUUCCAGGCCUUUCACAGCGUAGCCUUCCCCAGCUGCGGGCCCUGCCUGGAGCAGCAGGAUGAGGAGCGCAGCACCAGGCUCAAGGACCUGCUCGGCCGCUACUUUGAGGAAGAGGAAGGGCAGGAGCCGGGAGGCAUGGAGGACGCACAGGGCCCCGAGCCAGGGCAGGCCAGAGUGAGUGCACUCCAGGAUUGGGAGGACCAGGUCCGCUGCGACAUCCGCCAGUUCCUGUCCCUGAGGCCAGAGGAGAAGUUCUCCAGCAGGGCUGUGGCCCGCAUCUUCCACGGCAUCGGAAGCCCCUGCUACCCGGCCCAGGUGUACGGGCAGGACCGACGCUUCUGGAGAAAAUACCUGCACCUGAGCUUCCAUGCCCUGGUGGGCCUGGCCACGGAAGAGCUCCUGCAGGUGGCCCGCUGACUGCACUGCAUUGGGGGAUGUCGGGUAGAGCUGGGGUUGUCAGAGGCUAGGGCAGUGACUGAGGACCUGGGCAAAACCUGCCACAGGGUGUGGGAACGAGGAGGCU
rnacentral:lncRNA from 1 species